rnacentral:rRNA from 1 species
AUGCCUAAUACAUGCAAGUCGAACGAGCUUCCGUUGAAUGACGUGCUUGCACUGAUUUCAACAAUGAAGCGAGUGGCGAACUGGUGAGUAACACGUGGGGAAUCUGCCCAGAAGCAGGGGAUAACACUUGGAAACAGGUGCUAAUACCGUAUAACAACAAAAUCCGCAUGGAUUUUGUUUGAAAGGUGGCUUCGGCUAUCACUUCUGGAUGAUCCCGCGGCGUAUUAGUUAGUUGGUGAGGUAAAGGCCCACCAAGACGAUGAUACGUAGCCGACCUGAGAGGGUAAUCGGCCACAUUGGGACUGAGACACGGCCCAAACUCCUACGGGAGGCAGCAGUAGGGAAUCUUCCACAAUGGACGAAAGUCUGAUGGAGCAAUGCCGCGUGAGUGAAGAAGGGUUUCGGCUCGUAAAACUCUGUUGUUAAAGAAGAACACCUUUGAGAGUAACUGUUCAAGGGUUGACGGUAUUUAACCAGAAAGCCACGGCUAACUACGUGCCAGCAGCCGCGGUAAUACGUAGGUGGCAAGCGUUGUCCGGAUUUAUUGGGCGUAAAGCGAGCGCAGGCGGUUUUUUAAGUCUGAUGUGAAAGCCUUCGGCUUAACCGGAGAAGUGCAUCGGAAACUGGGAGACUUGAGUGCAGAAGAGGACAGUGGAACUCCAUGUGUAGCGGUGGAAUGCGUAGAUAUAUGGAAGAACACCAGUGGCGAAGGCGGCUGUCUAGUCUGUAACUGACGCUGAGGCUCGAAAGCAU